CAACUACUCUCUCCGUUCGGAAAAACUUGUCCCUUAAAUGGAUGUAUUUUGCAUCAAAUUAGUGUUAGAUAUAUUCAUUUGAGAAACAAGCUUGGGACAAGCUUUUCCGGACAGAGGGAAUACAAC
rnacentral:pre_miRNA from 1 species